ACGGGAGGCAGCAGUGGGGAAUAUUGCACAAUGGGGGAAACCCUGAUGCAGCGACGCCGCGUGAGUGAAGAAGUAUUUCGGUAUGUAAAGCUCUAUCAGCAGGGAAGAAAAUGACGGUACCUGACUAAGAAGCCCCGGCUAACUACGUGCCAGCAGCCGCGGUAAUACGUAGGGGGCAAGCGUUAUCCGGAUUUACUGGGUGUAAAGGGAGCGUAGACGGCGAGGCAAGUCUGAUGUGAAAGACCGGAGCUCAACUCCGGGGCUGCAUUGGAAACUGUUUUGCUAGAGUGCAGGAGAGGUAAGUGGAAUUCCUAGUGUAGCGGUGAAAUGCUUAGAUAUUAGGAGGAACACCAGUGGCGAAGGCGGCUUACUGGACUGUAACUGACGUUGAGGCUCGAAAGCGUGGGGAGCAAACAGGAUUAGAUACCCUGGUA
rnacentral:rRNA from 1 species